rnacentral:rRNA from 1 species
AUCCCGGUUGAUCCUGCCGGACCCGACUGCUAUCGGGGUGGGGCUAAGCCAUGCGAGUCAGCACCCCUAGCCAUGUUGGGGUGCGGCGCACGGCUCAGUAACAUGUGGCUAACCUACCCUCAGGACGGGGAUAACCUCGGGAAACUGAGGCUAAUCCCCGAUAGAUGAGGGAUCCUGGAAUGGUUCCUCAUCUAAAGGGUAUGCACAGCAUGCUGUGCAUACCGCCUGAGGAUGGGGCCACAUCCCAUCAGGUAGUUGGUGGGGUAACGGCCCACCAAGCCUAUAACCGGUACGGGCCGUGAGAGCGGGAGCCCGGAGAUGGGCACUGAGACAAGGGCCCAGGCCCUACGGGGCGCAGCAGGCGCGAAACCUCCGCAAUGCGCGAAAGCGCGACGGGGUCACCCCGAGUGCCGCCCGCUGAGGGCGGCUUUUCCCCAGUGUAAGAAGC